CAUUUCACUGGCUCAGACUUAGCUCAUUGGCCAGGUGCGGGAAGCGGUUUCUGCUCAGAGGCUGUGUUGCAAAUUCCAGCGAACAAGCCCUGGGAGGGCAGUCUCCAUGGAGGGAGCCAAACAUGGCUGCUUCGAAAGAGCCAACGCCAGCAGUGUGCUUUCUCUGCCUGCGGCAGGCUUGAUGAGAGCAGUGGUGGCCGCAUUUUUCCAGCCUGGAUUAGCAUUGGCAGGGCGCAGAAGGAGAGAGGACACUGAUCAGGUGAGAGGAUACUCUGCAAGGUUCACAAGCCAUUGCUGCAGACACCAGAAUCCCCACGUCUGGCAAAGGCAGGGAAACGCUAAAGCAAUUGCAAGAGGCAUUAAAGAGAGAGAGAGAGAGAUUUUAACUAGCCUGAAACAUUACAUGGGUUUUAAUUCUUCAACUCUGAUAAAUAUUUAAUUAUCUAAAGUAACGUGGGGAAUUUGUUUGAUUGUUUGUUUAUGUUUUUGGUUUUUUGAAUGUGAAUCAAAGCAAGGACAAUGUCUCUCUAUAUACUAUUUUAUUGCUGCUUUUCCACUGUGACUGACAUUCUUGUGUGGCAACUUCUAACUGACAUCCCUUGUAAUUAGAAGGAAUUGUCUUUUCAUACCGCCAAUCUGAACUGGCUAAUUACUCAAUGAAUAUUUAGCUCCUUGCAUAGGCAAACAUUAAGCAGAGAUGCAGACUCCCCUGCAUGCCUAAUUCAAUGCUGUACAGCUCCAUGUAAGCCAGUAGGAGGAGUGGGGGAGACAUUCUUCUUCCUUCCAGGGACUUGGUUCUGCAACGUGCUGAGUGCGCUGACCCUGAUCCUUCAAAGCACGGGCUUAAUGUCAAGCAUGUGCUUCAUCCCGCUAAAACCAGGGCAACUACUCGUACCUAAAGCUAAGCGCAUGCUGGAUCAGGGCCAGCAUGCUCAGCACCUCGAAGGUUUGAGCCCCACAAUUCUGACACUAACACCAUCAGACACUACUCUAGAUAGUCCAGCUCAGGUAGCAUAAAGCUUAGAUUUUAUACACAGGAGCUAUGCCUGUGCUUUGCAGCGUAAGUCUUUCCCCCUUGAGCUCUGUGUCUCUGAUUUCCUAGGUGGCCUGUCUAGAUUUCACACAUUUGAGAUGGAGCCUGUCUGAGCAUCUCCCAUUCUUCUCACAACAGCACCAGCCCCCUCCUGGCUCAAACCCAGGAUUCAAACUGAACAACAAAGGAGGUGAGGAAGGGUCAGUGAGCUUUAGUUUCAUUGCUGUCUCUGCCUAUCCUGGUUUCAGCUGAGGCUGGAAGUAAACAGGGCCACAGCAGUAAUAACCCUUUGUUCCCUUAGUGCACCUUCCAUGUGCUAAGCUCAUUAUGGGGCUCCAAACCCCCAGCCAAGCGCUGCACAACAUCAUCAGCUGACAACAUCAUCAGCUUGCUGUGGUGGACAGAAUGGGAGAAAACCUCUGCCAUGACCAGGGACGCCUACAUCAUCAGCCGGCCAGAAUGGCUGCCUGGCUUUGGGCUCCCAAGCCACCUCUGGAGCCAGCUCAACAAGUUCAGGUUCCCUGUGCCAAAAUCAACCACUCCUGGGGCAUCCAUGAUCACCCCCUGCACCUCCGUGGUGCUGUGGGGGAUGCUGCACACAUGCUGGAUGGUUGCUCUUUUCAUGACGGGCUCCCUGGAGGUUUUCUCAAGCUAAACAGUGGUGACUGAGGGGUGUGUUUCAUUGAUUGGCUCAAGGCCAUUUAGCUGUAUUUUUUUUUUAACCUUGCCUUCCUGACAUGCAAUCACUCUGUGUGUGUGUGUGUGUGGGAGAGAGAGAGUGAGCUGGUUAAGUAUUAACAGCCUUAUUUUACAGUAGGGGAAACUGAGGCACAGUGGUUUGACAGUCCCACAGUGAAUCAUUGACUGAGCGCUGGUUAGUCCUCAGGAACCCUGGCUCAGAGUCUCCUACUUUAUUCUCUAGACUAUGAACCUUCUGGGAGUCUGUCCUUCGUUUAUUUUCAAGUCAGACACAAUGAGGAAGUGCUAAAAUAAAAUCAUGAGAGCCAGCAUGCAGGGGUGGCAGCAAGUGCCAGCUCACAUCGAGGUGACCAGGCACCAGCUGAACGCUGGCAGAUACACGGCUGGAGUCAGUCUGCCUCACCUGUGCGUUAGCGUUGUUAAAAUUGGGAUUAGAAUUAUAAGGCUGUGUCUAGUGGUUAGAAUUUAUGGAACACUUGUCAUGUAAGUUGCUGCAGGCAUGAAUCUCUCUUACCACAUUUGUAUCCCAUAUUAUAAGGUAAUAGUGGAGUAUUUGCCGUGUACGCCUCUGUAACUUUGUAAAUCACCAGCCAGGAGAGAGACAUUAACUGGUGUGAAAUGCUGGUCUCCAGCAGAAGGUGUUACAUCCUGUCCAGUGAGGAAGGCCCAUUGACAUCAGACGGACUAGUGUGGAACAUUAAAGACAAUAAAAAACGUUGUUAUUUACUCUGUCUCUCUCUCUUCCCCCCCCCCCCCCAAUCCACCGUGAAGAUGAGGCAAGCAAGUGAAUUCCUCCCAUCAGAUGAGUUUGUAGCUCAGAGCACUCGAGGGGAAGGCAAUAAAAACCCCUAACGAGGCGGAAUUGUUUCUUUAUUUCUGGUUGGUCUUUGGGGGCAAGGAUUAUUAGGCAUAAGCAAAGGAUCUCCAGUGCUUAGCCUGAGUUAGCCCUAAAGGACAUAUAAAGCUUGCUUAUUAUAGAAGUUUGUAUUACUGUUUGAAACUUAAGAUUGGAACUCAUUUGGGUGUAUCUGUUUCCCUGCUUUUACUUUGUAAAUAACUCUUGUAUUUUCUUUUCCUAUUAAUAAAUCUGCCUAUAGUUUAUUAUAGGUUUGGCUAGGAGUGUUGCCUUUGCUACUUUGCUAUGAGAUCUACAGUGCAAUUUACCUGGGGUAAGUGACUGGUCCUUUGGGAUUGGGAGUAACCUGAAUAUUGCUGUAAUACUUGGUGUAAGGACCAUCUAUCGCAAAGGUAGGCUUACCUGGGUGGCAAGACAGAUCGGAGUACCCAAGGGGACUGUCUGUGACUCCAUGUUAAGGCUGUUACAAUGCCUGAGAAAUUUACACUUGAUAACUGGUUGUUGAAAUCUAAGUUUCAAUCUCCCACCCAGGGGGUUUGUGCCCUGGUUCUUAACAGUAUGCACUAUAGUUGGUACUCAUGUUCUUGAGCCAGUGCCAGGAAUUACCUCUCAGUUUUUGAAACUGAGCAAAGCAAUUCUGCGAAGCCUGAACUG